UACGGGGGGAGCAAGCGUUGUUCGGAUUUACUGGGCGUAAAGGGCGCGUAGGCGGCACUGCAAGUCAGUUGUGAAAUCUCCGGGCUUAACCCGGAAAGGUCAACUGAUACUGCAGGGCUAGAGUGCAGAAGGGGCAACUGGAAUUCUCGGUGUAGCGGUGAAAUGCGUAGAUAUCGAGAGGAACACCUGCGGCGAAGGCGGGUUGCUGGGCUGACACUGACGCUGAGGCGCGAAAGCCAGGGGAGCAAACGGG
rnacentral:rRNA from 1 species